rnacentral:rRNA from 1 species
AUUGAACGCUGGCGGCAUGCCUUACACAUGCAAGUCGAACGGUAACGCGGGGCAACCUGGCGACGAGUGGCGAACGGGUGAGUAAUGCAUCGGAACGUGCCCAGUAGUGGGGGAUAGCCCGGCGAAAGCCGGAUUAAUACCGCACACGACCUACGGGUGAAAGCGGGGGACCGUAAGGCCUCGUGCUAUUCGAGCGGCCGAUGUCAGAUUAGGUUGUGGGUGGGGUAAAAGCCUACCAAGCCGACGAUCUGGAGCUGGUCUGGGAGGACUACCAGCCACACUGGGACUGAGACACGGCCCAGACUCCUACGGGAGGCAGCAGUGGGAAAUUUUGGACAAUGGGGCAACCCUGAUCCAGCCAUGCCGCGUGCGGGAAGAAGGCCUUCGGGUUGUAAACCGCUUUUGUCAGGGAAGAAACGCUCUGGGCUAAUACCCCGGGGUAAUGACGGUACCUGAAGAAUAAGCACCGGCUAACUACGUGCCAGCCGCCGCCGUAAGAC